rnacentral:rRNA from 1 species
CAGCCGCCGCGGUAAUACGAAGGGGGCUAGCGUUGUUCGGAUUUACUGGGCGUAAAGCGCACGUAGGCGGACUUUUAAGUCAGGGGUGAAAUCCCGGGGCUCAACCCCGGAACUGCCUUUGAUACUGGGAGUCUUGAGUUCGAGAGAGGUGAGUGGAAUUGCGAGUGUAGAGGUGAAAUUCGUAGAUAUUCGCAGGAACACCAGUGGCGAAGGCGGCUUACUGGCUCAUACUGGACGCUGAGGUGCGAAAGCGUGGGGAGCAAACAGGAUUAGAGACCCCCGUAGUCCCUGUCUCUUAUAC